rnacentral:rRNA from 1 species
GACGAACGCUGGCGGCGUGCUUAACACAUGCAAGUCGAACGGACGAGUGAGAUAAGUUUACUUAACUCACAAGUUAGUGGCGGACGGGUGAGUAACACGUGGAUAAUCUACCUGCAACACCGGGAUAACGCUGUGAAAACGGUGCUAAUACCGGAUAGUUCCCCUUGUGCGCAUGUAUGAGGGAAGAAAGCUCAGGCGGUUGCAGAUGAGUCCGCGGCUGAUUAGCUAGUUGGUGAGGUAAAGGCUCACCAAGGCGAUGAUCAGUAGCCGGCCUGAGAGGGUGAACGGCCACACUGGGACUGAGACACGGCCCAGACUCCUACGGGAGGCAGCAGUGGGGAAUCUUCCGCAAUGGGCGCAAGCCUGACGGAGCAACGCCGCGUGGGUGAAGAAGGCCUUCGGGUUGUAAAGCCCUGUCUUAUGGGAAGAAGUCAGUGACGGUACCAUAGGAGGAAGCCACGGCUAACUACGUG